CUGGGCUAGACAACGGCGGACCGUCCUAGAAAUAGGAUUUUCCCUUCGGGGACUGCCGGUUCAGGUGCUGCAUGGCUGUCGUCAGCUCGUGCCGUGAGGUGUUGGGUUAAGUCCCGCAACGAGCGCAACCCUCGUCCUUAGUUGCCACCAUUCAGUUGGGCACUCUAGGGAGACUGCCGGCGUUAAGCCGGAGGAAGGUGGGGACGACGUCAAGUCAUCAUGGCCCUUAUGUCCAGGACGACACACGUGCUACAAUGGCCGGUACAGAGCGUCGCAAGCCCGCGAGGGGGAGCCAAUCGCCAAAAGCCGGUCUAAGUGCGGAUUGGAGUCUGCAACUCGACUCCAUGAAGUCGGAAUCGCAAGUAAUCGUGGAUCAGCCAUGCCACGGUGAAUACGUUCCC
rnacentral:rRNA from 1 species